CCCUUAGAUGCUCUGGGCCGCACGCGCGCUACACUGGUCGAUGCAACGAGUUUCUUUCCUUGGCCGACAGGCCUGGGCAAUCUUUUAACAUCGAUCGUGAUCGGGAUAGAUUCUUGUAAUUUUUGAUCUUAAACGAGGAAUUCCUAGUAAACGCAAGUCAUCAGCUUGCAUUGAUUACGUCCCUGCCCUUUGUACACACCGCCCGUCGCACCUACCGAUUGAAUGGUCCGGUGAAAUCUCCGGACUGGCGUGAGUCGGAGCAAUCUGACAAACGCCGGAAAGUUGAUUAAACCUUACCAUUUAGAGGAAGGUGAAGUCGUAACA
rnacentral:rRNA from 1 species